rnacentral:rRNA from 1 species
UUGAGAGUUUGAUCCUGGCUCAGGAUGAACGCUGGCGGCGUGCCUUAGGCAUGCAAAUGGAACGAGCUGAGACCGCAAGGUCGAAGCGAGUCGUGGACGGGUGAGUAACACGUAGGAAUCUACCUUACAAGUGGGGAAUACCUCGCCGAAAGGCGAGCUAAUACCGCAUAGUAUCCGGCUUUGCCGGAUUAAAGGGCUUAACUGCCCGCUUUGAGAUGAGCCUGCGUCCUAUCAGCUAGUUGGCGGGAUAAUAGCCCACCAAGGCGAUGACGGGUAGCUGGACUGAGAGGUCGGUCAGCCACAGCGCAACUGCGACACGGUGCGCACACCUACGGGUGGCAGCAACUAGGAAUAUUCGGCAAUGGGCGAAAGCCUGACCGAGCGACGCCGCGUGGAGGAAGAAGGUCUUCGGAUCGUAAACUCCUUUUGUCUCAACAUAUGUUGGGAAGAAUAACCAGCUGCUAACUACGUGCCAGAAGCCUCGGUAAUACGUAGGCUGGAAGCGUUAUCCGGAUUUAUUGGGCGUAAAGCGUUCGUAGGUGGUUUUCCAAGUCAUGGGUGAAAGCCUGCGGCUCAACCGUAGAAUUGCUUAUGAUACUGGGAGACUUUGAGGUCGUUAGGGGGUGCUGGAACUGUCGGUGGAGCAGUGAAAUGCGUUGAUAUCGACAGGAACACCAAGGGCGAAGGCAGGCACCUGGGACGAAUCUGACACUGAGGAACGAAAGCUAGGGGAGCGAAAGGGAUGGAGUUAAUCUCUGGUCCCCUCCGGUGGUAACGCCGGAGUAAAAAUUUGGCUAUAUGCUGGAACAUCUGGGAAUCUCGGGCUAGUUAUUGAUUUCGGGUUAAGUUUGGAUAAUACUUUUACCAAUGCCCAUUUCAUUAACUGACAAUGUUUCGAGUGCAGAAAAUCAGCAGGAAACUCCGAUGUUGUUGUCGGAGGAUCCUCAGAGACUAUAUGCCAAAUGUCCUACUGAGAAAAAAAUAACUGAAGAGGAAGCCAUUUUGUUGGGAAUUUUAUAUACCGACGGCUGCCUUUCCAAAAAGAGCAAGAGUUGCUGGAGAUUUUACCUUAGCAACACUUCUUUUAAGAUCAUCCAAACAUUUAAGGAUUGUAUGAUCAAGAUCUUUGGAUUGGACAGUCGCCGCAUAAGAAUUCGUCAACAAAUUGUGAACGAUAAACCCUUUUAUAAGGCUGUUGUCGAUAGUGCGUAUUGUGGCACUUACUUGACUGCCAAAUAUGGAACUUUCAGAACAUUGGCUUUCAAGGGAACGGGGGGUGAAAAGAUAUACCCGUUUGCGAGAUUGCCGUUCACUUCUGAGAUGGACUUUCAUCUGAUCUCUCUCUUUUUGAAGGCUGCCUUUAGUUGUGAUGGUGGAGUUAACUUAUAUGCGGCUAAAUCCAAAUCUAACUAUAGAUUUUUGAUUCGCAAUGCAUACUUAGCUUGUCACCAUCCACAACUUCAGCUUGAUUAUCAGAAGCUUCUGGGCACCUUAGGUGUCAAAUCGAAGAUUCUGAUGAGAGAUAACAGAAUCCUUCUUCAGGGAGAAGAAGGAUUGCGAGGUUUUAGAGACAAGGUGGGUUUUCUCGACGGCGUGAAAUUUACUCAACAUUCUGUUUUUUGGCAGGGUUGGGAAAAGAACGAAGUGUUGAAACUUGCUUUGUCGUCCUAUGGUAAUCCAAAGAAGAUUCUUAGUUUUUCUCAGUUUUCAGGACAAUGAUAUAGUCCGGUCUCAUGGGCGAUCAUGAGAGUGUUGUAAAAAACAACACCUGUCUCUUUAAGAGAUGGUAACAAUUUGUAGAGACCCCUGUAGUCCUAGCCGUAAACGAUGCUCGCUAGAUGCUCGUCCCGCAGAGGAUAGAAGAUAAACUUAAAAGGCAAAGGUCAAAGGUCAAAAUUUAAAGUAGAAAAUCAGAACUUUUAACUUUUAAAUUUCACUUUUGAAUUCUAACUUUUGAGUUUUGAAUUCAUCUAUUUUGUGCGGGGUGAGUGUCGCAGCUAACGCGUUAAGCGAGCCGCCUGGGGAGUACGAGCGCAAGCUUAAAACUCAAAGGAAUUGACGGGGAGGCGCACAACCAGAGGAGCAUGUGGUUUAAUUCGAAACGAAGCGAAAGACCUUACCUGGGUUUGACAUGCUAGUAGUAGGUCCCGGAAACGGGUACCCAACCGUCAAGAUCGGUAGCUAGCACAGCUGCUGCAUGGCUGUCUUCAGCUCGUGCCGUGAAA